GAUCCUGGCUCAGGACGAACGCUGGCGGCACGCUUAACACAUGCAAGUCGAACGGAGAACAUUGAGCUUGCUUAAUGUUCUUAGUGGCGGACGGGUGAGUAACACGUGAGUAACCUGCCUCUGAGAGUGGGAUAGCUUCUGGGAAACGGAUGGUAAUACCGCAUAACAUCAUGGAUUCGCAUGUUUCUAUGAUCAAAGAUUUAUCGCUCAGAGAUGGACUCGCGU
rnacentral:rRNA from 1 species